AUUGAACGCUGGCGGCAGGCCUAACACAUGCAAGUCGAGCGAGCGGCGGACGGGUGAGUAAUGUAUGGGAAACUGCCCGAUGGAGGGGGAUAACUACUGGAAACGGUGGCUAAUACCGCAUACCAUCGGAUGAACCCAGAUGGGAUUAGCUAGUAGGUGGGGUAAAGGCUCACCUAGUCGACGAUCCCGAGCUGGUCUGAGAGGAUGACCAGCCACACUGGGACUGAGACACGGCCCAUACUCCUCCGGGAGGCAGCAUUGGGGAAUAUUGCACAAUGGGCUCAAGCCUGAUGCAGCCAUGCCGCGUGUAUGAAGAAGGCCUUAGGGUUGUAAAGUACUUUCAGCGGGGAGGCGUUACCCGCAGAAGAAUCACCGGCUAACUCCGUGCCAGCAGCCGCGGUAAUUC
rnacentral:rRNA from 1 species